CCUACGGGAGGCAGCAGUAGGGAAUCUUUCACAAUGGGCGAAAGCCUGAUGGAGCAACGCCGCGUGCAGGAUGAAGGCCUUCUGGUUGUAAACUGCUUUUAUAAGCGAGAAAUAUGAUGGUAACUUAUGAAUAAGGAUCGGCUAACUACGUGCCAACAGCCGCGGUCACACGUAGGAUCCGAGCAUUAUCCGGAGUGACUGGGUGUAAAGAGUUGCGUAGGUGGCAUAAUAAGUAGCUAGUGGAAUCUGGUGGCUCAACCAUUCAGACUAUUAGCUAAACUGUUAAGCUCGAGACCGUUAGAGGUAACUGGAAUUUCUAGUGUAGGAGUGAAAUCCGUAGAUAUUAGAAGGAACACCAAUAGCGAAGGCAGGUUACUGGGACGGUUCUGACACUAAGGCACGAAAGCGUAGGGAGCAAACAGGAUUAGAUACCCGAGUAGUC
rnacentral:rRNA from 1 species